rnacentral:rRNA from 1 species
AGCGAACGUUUGCGGCGGGCCUAACACAUGCAAGUCGAACGCACUAGCAAUAGUGAGUGGCGCACGGGUGCGUAACACGUGGGUAAUCAACCCUUCAGCCUGGGAUAACGACUCGAAAGGGUCGCUAAUACCGGAUACGGCGCGAGAGGCUUCGGCUUCUCACGAGAAAGCCACGCAAGGGGCACUGAAGGACGAGCCUGCGGCCCAUCAGCUAGUUGGUGAGGUAAGAGCUCACCAAGGCUAAGACGGGUAGCUGGUCUGAGAGGAUGAUCAGCCACACUGGAACUGAGACACGGUCCAGACUCCUACGGGAGGCAGCAGUGGGGAAUAUUGCGCAAUGGGCGAAAGCCUGACGCAGCCACGCCGCGUGAGCGAUGAAGGCCUGGUCGUAAGACGUCUGUGGGAGGAGACGAAGAAAGACCUGUGAGAGCAGGCCUUGACGGUAGUCUCCUUA